rnacentral:rRNA from 1 species
AUUGAACGCUGGCGGCAUGCCUUACACAUGCAAGUCGAACGGUAACAGGUCUUCGGAUGCUGACGAGUGGCGAACGGGUGAGUAAUACAUCGGAACGUGCCUAGUAGUGGGGGAUAACUACUCGAAAGAGUGGCUAAUACCGCAUGAGAUCUACGGAGGAAAGCAGGGGAUCGCAAGACCUUGUGCUACUAGAGCGGCCGAUGGCAGAUUAGGUAGUUGGUGGGAUAAAAGCUUACCAAGCCGACGAUCUGUAGCUGGUCUGAGAGGACGAUCAGCCACACUGGGACUGAGGCACGGCCCAGACUCCUACGGGAGGCAGCAGUGGGGAAUUUUGGACAAUGGGCGCAAGCCUGAUCCAGCAAUGCCGCGUGCAGGAUGAAGGCCUUCGGGUUGUAAACUGCUUUUGUACGGAACGAAAAGCCCUGGGUUGAUACCCUGGGGUCAUGACGGUACCGUAAGAAUAAGUACCGGCUAACUACGUGCCAGCCGCCGCAGUAAGAC